GACGAACGCUGGCGGCGUGCUUAACACAUGCAAGUCGAACGGAAAGGCCCUGCUUUUGUGGGGUGCUCGAGUGGCGAACGGGUGAGUAACACGUGAGUAACCUGCCCUUGACUUUGGGAUAACUUCAGGAAACUGGGGCUAAUACCGGAUAGGAGCUCCUGCUGCAUGGUGGGGGUUGGAAAGUUUCGGCGGUUGGGGAUGGACUCGCGGCUUACCAGCUUGUUGGUGGGGUAGUGGCUUACCAAGGCUUUGACGGGUAGCCGACCUGAGAGGGUGACCGGCCACAUUGGGACUGAGAUACGGCCCAGACUCCUACGGGAGGCAGCAGUGGGGAAUAUUGCACAAUGGGCGGAAGCCUGAUGCAGCAACGCCGCGUGCGGGAUGACGGCCUUCGGGUUGUAAACCGCUUUCGCCUGUGACGAAGCGUGAGUGACGGUAAUGGGUAAAGAAGCACCGGCUAACUACGUG
rnacentral:rRNA from 1 species